rnacentral:rRNA from 1 species
AGUUUGAUCCUGGCUCAGGACGAACGCUGGCGGCGUGCCUAAUACAUGCAAGUCGAGCGGAGAAUGAAGGAAGCUUGCUUCUUUUAUUCUUAGCGGCGGACGGGUGAGUAACACGUAGGCAACCUGCCCUCAAGCUUGGGACAACUACCGGAAACGGUAGCUAAUACCAAAUACAUGAUUUGUUCGCCUGAACGAAUCUGGAAAGACGGAGCAAUCUGUCACUUGAGGAUGGGCCUGCGGCGCAUUAGCUAGUUGGUGAGGUAACGGCUCACCAAGGCGACGAUGCGUAGCCGACCUGAGAGGGUGAUCGGCCACACUGGGACUGAGACACGGCCCAGACUCCUACGGGAGGCAGCAGUAGGGAAUCUUCCGCAAUGGACGCAAGUCUGACGGAGCAACGCCGCGUGAGUGAUGAAGGUUUUCGGAUCGUAAAGCUCUGUUGCCAGGGAAGAACGUCCAGGUUAGUAACUGAACUUGGAGUGACGGUACCUGAGAAGAAAGCCCCGGCUAACUACGUGCCAGCAGCCGCGGUAA